rnacentral:rRNA from 1 species
GUCUACGGCCAUACCACCCUGAACGCGCCCAAUGUCAUCUAAUCUCAGAAGCUAAGUAAGGUCGGUUCCUGGUUAGUACUUGGAUGGGAGAAAUUUACUCAGUCAGGGCUGGGUU